rnacentral:rRNA from 1 species
AGUGAACGCUGGCGGUAGGCCUAACACAUGAAAGUCGAACGGCAGCACAGUAAGAGCUUGCUCUUACGGGUGGCGAGUGGCGGACGGGUGAGGCAUACAUCGGAAUCUACUUUUUCGUGGGGGAUAACGUAGGGAAACUUACGCUAAUACCGCAUACGACCUACGGGUGAAAGCAGGGGAUCUUCGGACCUUGCGCGAUUGAAUGAGCCGAUGUCGGAUUAGCUAGUUGGCGGGGUAAAGGCCCACCAAGGCGACGAUCCGUAGCUGGUCUGAGAGGAUGAUCCGCCACACUGGAUCUUAGACACUGACCAGACUCCUACGGGAUGCAGCGGUGCAGAAUUUGGGACAAUAGGAGCAAGCCUGAUCCAGGCAUACCGCCUGGGUGCUGUAGGGCUUCCGGUGCUAAGGCGCUUUUGUUGGGGAAGAAAUGCACCAGGCUGAUACCCCGCUGUACUGACAGUACCCAAAGAGUAAGCACCGGCUAUCUUCGUG